rnacentral:rRNA from 2 species
GACAGAGGGUGCAAACGUUGUUCGGAAUUACUGGGCGUAAAGCGCGUGUAGGCGGCGGUGCAAGUCGGAUGUGAAAGCCCUGGGCUCAACCCAGGAAGUGCAUUCGAUACUGCAUCGCUGGAGUCCCGGAGAGGAUGGUGGAACUCUCGGUGUAGAGGUGAAAUUCGUAGAUAUCGAGAAGAACACCGGUGGCGAAGGCGGCCAUCUGGACGGUGACUGACGCUGAGACGCGAAAGCGUGGGGAGCAAACAGG